GAACAAAUACAAUCUCAAAGUCCAUACAAUCUCAAACUCACCAGGCAUAAUGAUGAGACUUAUGAAAUUACAGUUUCUGGUAGUUCUUGUGUUGAUGAUUUGGUACCAGGGACCUUAGGUACUUAUGGAGCUUGCACAGGGAGGAGCAGGUCGUUGUGGGACAUGGAUUGAGGAUGCCAUGUUAAACGUUUAAACAUUUGAACUUAUGAUUUUCAUUAGGUUUACAUACUUCUGCUUCCGCUACUUAAAUUAUGUUUUUAUUGAACACCAGUUAUAUUGUGAUGGGUUGUAAUGAUUACUUUUAAUAUUUAAAUGCUAUGUUUAAUAUGAUUGGUGGCUUGAUCCUGGACAGUCACGCUCCCAAGCGGUGAUACUCCGCGUGUGGAUUUUGGGGGUGUGAUAGAUUGGUAUCAGAGCCAUUGGUUAUAGAGAACUUGGUUUUAAUAUGGGGAAAACGUUUUUAUUAAAACCAGACUAUAACCAGAACAGUGCUCUCAACGAUCCACAAGGACGCUUCGCUCCACGUGCAAGACUCAACAUCCUAG
rnacentral:lncRNA from 1 species